rnacentral:rRNA from 1 species
GUUGAACGCUGGCGGCAUGCCUUACACAUGCAAGUCGAACGGUAACAGGUCUUCGGAUGCUGACGAGUGGCGAACGGGUGAGUAAUACAUCGGAACGUGCCCGAUCGUGGGGGAUAACGAAGCGAAAGCUUUGCUAAUACCGCAUAAGAUCUACGGAUGAAAGCAGGGGACCGCAAGGCCUUGCGCGAACGGAGCGGCCGAUGGCAGAUUAGGUAGUUGGUGGGAUAAAAGCUUACCAAGCCGACGAUCUGUAGCUGGUCUGAGAGGACGACCAGCCACACUGGGACUGAGACACGGCCCAGACUCCUGCGGGAGGCAGCAGUGGGGAAUUUUGGACAAUGGGCGAAAGCCUGAUCCAGCCAUGCCGCGUGCAGGAUGAAGGCCUUCGGGUUGUAAACUGCUUUUAUACGGAACGAAAAGACUCUUUCUAAUAAAGAGGGUCCAUGACGGUACCGUAAGAAUAAGCACCGGCUAACUACGUGCCAGCAGCAGCCGCGGUAA